rnacentral:rRNA from 1 species
AGGGAAUCUUCGGCAAUGGACGGAAGUCUGACCGAGCAACGCCGCGUGAGUGAAGAAGGUUUUCGGAUCGUAAAGCUCUGUUGUAAGAGAAGAACGAGUGUGAGAGUGGAAAGUUCACACUGUGACGGUAUCUUACCAGAAAGGGACGGCUAACUACGUGCCAGCAGCCGCGGUAAUACGUAGGUCCCGAGCGUUGUCCGGAUUUAUUGGGCGUAAAGCGAGCGCAGGCGGUUAGAUAAGUCUGAAGUUAAAGGCUGUGGCUUAACCAUAGUACGCUUUGGAAACUGUUUAACUUGAGUGCAAGAGGGGAGAGUGGAAUUCCAUGUGUAGCGAUGAAAUGCGUAGAUAUAUGGAGGAACACCGGUGGCGAAAGCGGCUCUCUGGCUUGUAACUGACGCUGAGGCUCGAAAGCGUGGGGAGCAAACAGGAUUAGAUACCCUGGUAGUCCACGCCGUAAACGAUGAGUGCUAGGUGUUAGACCCUUUCCGGGGUUUAGUGCCGCAGCUAACGCAUUAAGCACUCCGCCUGGGGAGUACGACCGCAAGGUUG